AUGGAAGUAAAAGUCGUAACAAGGUUUCCGUAGGUGAACCUGCGGAAGGAUCAUUAUUGAAUGAACUUGACUUGGUUGCUGCUGGUCUUUUCAAAGGCAUGUGCACACCUUGUCAUCUUUAUAUCUCCACCUGUGCACCUUUUGUAGACCUGGAUUCAACAUUCCGAGGCAACUCGGUCGUGAGGAAUUGCUUCACAGCUUUCCUUGUAAGUUUCCAGGCCUAUGUUUUUCAUAUACACCAUAAGAAUGUAACAGAAUGUCAUUAUUAGACUUCAUUGUCUUAUAAACUAUAUACAACUUUCAGCAACGGAUCUCUUGGCUCUCGCAUCGAUCAAGAACGCAGCGAAAUGCGAUAAGUAAUGUGAAUUGCAGAAUUCAGUGAAUCAUCGAAUCUUUGAACGCACCUUGCGCUCCUUGGUAUUCCGAGGAGCAUGCCUGUUUGAGUGUCAUUAAAUUCUCAACCUUUGUCAACUUUUUUGGUUGACCAACGGCUUGGAUGUGGGGGUUUUGCAGGUUUCUCUUUUGAAAUCAGCUCCCCUGAAAUGUAUUAGCUGGUUGCGUUGUGUAGACCUGUCUAUUGGUGUGAUAAUUAUCUACGCCGUGGACUGUUUGCCAUUUUAGCACUGCUUCUAACUGUCUGUUCAUUCAGACGAUAUAUGACAAUUGACCUCAAAUCAGUAG
rnacentral:rRNA from 1 species